CCUACGGGGGGCAGCAGUGAGGAAUAUUGGUCAAUGGACGAGAGUCUGAACCAGCCAAGUAGCGUGAAGGAUGACUGCCCUAUGGGUUGUAAACUUCUUUUAUAUGGGAAUAAAAUGUUCCACGUGUGGGAUUUUGUAUGUACCAUAUGAAUAAGGAUCGGCUAACUCCGUGCCAGCAGCCGCGGUAAUACGGAGGAUCCGAGCGUUAUCCGGCUUUAUUGGGUUUAAAGGGAGCGUAGGUGGAUUGUUAAGUCAGUUGUGAAAGUUUGCGGCUCAACCGUAAAAUUGCAGUUGAAACUGGCAGUCUUGAGUACAGUAGAGGUGGGCGGAAGUCGUGGUGUAGCGGUGAAAUGCUUAGAUAUCACGAAGAACUCCGAUUGCGAAGGCAGUUCACUGGACUGCAACUGACACUGAGGCUCGAAAGUGUGGGUAUCAAACAGGAUUAGAUACCCCAGUAGUC
rnacentral:rRNA from 1 species